GUGGCGAACGGGUGAGUAACACGUGGGCAAUCUGCCCUGCACUCUGGGACAAGCCCUGGAAACGGGGUCUAAUACCGGAUACUGACCCUCUUGGGCAUCUAAGCGGUUCGAAAGCUCCGGCGGUGCAGGAUGAGCCCGCGGCCUAUCAGCUUGUUGGUGAGGUAAUGGCUCACCAAGGCGACGACGGGUAGCCGGCCUGAGAGGGCGACCGGCCACACUGGGACUGAGACACGGCCCAGACUCCUACGGGAGGCAGCAGUGGGGAAUAUUGCACAAUGGGCGAAAGCCUGAUGCAGCGACGCCGCGUGAGGGAUGACGGCCUUCGGGUUGUAAACCUCUUUCAGCAGGGAAGAAGCGAAAGUGACGGUACCUGCAGAAGAAGCGCCGGCUAACUACGUGCCAGCAGCCGCGGUAAUACGUAGGGCGCAAGCGUUGUCCGGAAUUAUUGGGCGUAAAGAGCUCGUAGGCGGCUUGUCACGUCGGUUGUGAAAGCCCGGGGCUUAACCCCGGGUCUGCAGUCGAUACGGGCAGGCUAGAGUUCGGUAGGGGAGAUCGGAAUUCCUGGUGUAGCGGUGAAAUGCGCAGAUAUCAGGAGGAACACCGGUGGCGAAGGCGGAUCUCUGGGCCGAUACUGACGCUGAGGAGCGAAAGCGUGGGGGAGCGAACAGGAUUAGAUACCCUGGUAGUCCACGCCGUAAACGGUGGGCACUAGGUGUGGGCAACAUUCCACGUUGUCCGUGCCGCAGCUAACGCAUUAAGUGCCCCGCCUGGGGAGUACGGCCGCAAGGCUAAAACUCAAAGGAAUUGACGGG
rnacentral:rRNA from 1 species